rnacentral:tRNA from 1 species
GGGAGCGUGGCGGAAUUGGCAGACGCAACGGACUUAAAAUCCGUCGUCUUCGGACAUGUGGGUUCGAGUCCCACCGCUCCUA